rnacentral:rRNA from 1 species
AUUGAACGCUGGCGGCAGGCUUAACACAUGCAAGUCGAGCGGGGGAAGGUAGCUUGCUACUGGACCUAGCGGCGGACGGGUGAGUAAUGCUUAGGAAUCUGCCUAUUAGUGGGGGACAACAUUCCGAAAGGAAUGCUAAUACCGCAUACGCCCUACGGGGGAAAGCAGGGGAUCUUCGGACCUUGCGCUAAUAGAUGAGCCUAAGUCGGAUUAGCUAGUUGGUGGGGUAAAGGCCUACCAAGGCGACGAUCUGUAGCGGGUCUGAGAGGAUGAUCCGCCACACUGGGACUGAGACACGGCCCUGACUCCUACGGGAGGCAGCAGUGGGGAAUAUUGGACAAUGGGCGGAAGCCUGAUCCAGCCAUGCCGCGUGUGUGAAGAAGGCCUUUUGGUUGUAAAGCACUUUAAGCGAGGAGGAGGCUACUUAGAUUAAUACUCUGGGAUAGUGGACGUUACUCGCAGAAUAAGCACCGGCUAACUCUGUGCCAGCCGCCGCGGUAA